UCGCAUUCUGAAGACUUGAAGUCUAGGCUACACACUGAGAACGCUGAUUCUCCCUAUACCCCAGCCUAGGGGAAAGUCCCCGGACCUCGGGCAGAGAGUGCCGCCCGCCUCCUCGGCGCGCUAUAAUCCCGCCCUAUACUCACACACACUCCGCCAAGAAGCUCCUGGAGCCGAGCGGGUUGAGCAGGGACUGGGACCUCUCGUCAGUUACCAUAGCAACUCAAGUAGCGUGGGGGGUGAUCUCACGUGACCAGAACGGGGCUCAUUCUCAGAAUGCU